AUUGAACGCUGGCGGCAGGCCUAACACAUGCAAGUCGAACGGCAGCACAGAAGAGCUUGCUCUUUGGGUGGCGAGUGGCGGACGGGUGAGUAAUGUCUGGGAAACUGCCCGAUGGAGGGGGAUAACUACUGGAAACGGUAGCUAAUACCGCAUAACGUCGCAAGACCAAAGUGGGGGACCUUCGGGCCUCACACCAUCGGAUGUGCCCAGAUGGGAUUAGCUAGUAGGUGGGGUAAUGGCUCACCUAGGCGACGAUCCCUAGCUGGUCUGAGAGGAUGACCAGCACAACUGGAACUGAGACACGGUCCAGACUCCUACGGGAGGCAGCAGUGGGGAAUAUUGCACAAUGGGCGCAAGCCUGAUGCAGCCAUGCCGCGUGUAUGAAGAAGGCCUUCGGGUUGUAAAGUACUUUCAGCGGGGAGGAAGGCGGUGAGGUUAAUAACCUUGCCGAUUGACGUUACCCGCAGAAGAAGCACCGGCUAACUCCGUGCCAGCCGCCGCAGUAA
rnacentral:rRNA from 1 species